GAGAGGAGCAAGGGGAGGGAGCACAUAUAGCCUCUUCACACUGGACAUGGCUUUCAUGCUGCAGAUGACCUGAGAUCCGUCUGUCUCUGAAUAAUGAGCAACCACACAGACAAGGAAGACAAUCUGCAAAGCAGGCUACACAAAGAAGUUUGGGAGACUAGCAAGCACCAGAGGGUGCACAAGAGUUUACGAUGAGACGAGGGAGCAUCAGCAGGAUGGACAACGUCUAUGUCUGAGAAGCUCAUCCUUCAUCUAGACUGAAGUCAGAUAGCCUGCAAAGCCUUAUCAGCGGCUCAGACCACCACCAAGAUGCACGCGGGCACCGUGAAUUUUUAUAUAGGGCUUUCCAUACUGUGUGUGCCACGUCAUGGGGUUAUCUGCAGUUCACUUUGGUGGUGAUGAUGCUGCUUCACACUUCAACCAGACACACAACAACAACAACACAGACAGACAGACAGACAGACAGACAGAUAUAUAGAUAGACUUGUUAAUUCAAAGUUAAUAAUAUUCUUUAAAAAAAUAAAAUAAAUGUUUAAAAUGUAACCAUGAUUUUAAAAAGAUCGAAUUUUUAAACCACUAACGACCAGUAACAUUCAACACUUUCAAAAUAAAAUCACCUCCAUCCACUAUCCCCCCCCCACCAAAAAAAAAAAAAAAAAAAAAUUAAAAGGUUUAACAUCUUUAUUCAAAUAAAAGCAAAGCAAAACAAUGAAUAAAAUCA